GACGAACGCUGGCGGCGCGCUUAACACAUGCAAGUCGAACGGAAAGGCCUGCUUUCCCUUGUGGAUUGCGGGUACUCGAGUGGCGAACGGGUGAGUAACACGUGAGUGAUCUGCCCCCAACUUGGGUAUAAGCCUGGGAAACUGGGUCUAAUUCCCGAUAGGACUGCAGGGUGGUGCCUGUGGUGGAAAACGAUUUUCUAGUGGUUGGGGAUGAGCUCGCGGCCUAUCAGCUUGUUGGUGGGGUAAUGGCCUACCAAGGCGGCGACGGGUAGCCGGCCUGAGAGGGUGGACGGCCACAUUGGGAAUGAGAUACGGCCCAGACUCCUACGGGAGGCAGCAGUGGGGAAUAUUACACAAUGGGCGGAAGCCUGAUGCAGCGACGCCGCGUGGGGGAUGACGGCCUUCGGGUUGUAAACUCCUUUCGACCGCGAGGAAGCCACCUGGUUGGAAGGGUGGUGACGGUAGUGGUAGAAGAAGCACCGGCUAACUACGUG
rnacentral:rRNA from 1 species